UGCAGGCGGGCGGCUGGUUUCCCCUGCGCCAAAGGAGAUUUCGCAGCCAUUUCUCAGUUGUCCGCCUACGCCGCAGAGCCCGGGCUACGCUGCAGGACACGCAGAGCCCAAACCCCGCUGCCCGAGCCCAGGCGCCCAGCACUCGCAGCCAGGAGCAAGCCCGAGUGCCGCCGGCGCAGGGCACAGUCUCGGGGCGGAGCUGGCGGCGGCGGUGGUGGGGAGGAGGCGGCGCGGGCGGAGCAGAGUCGGGGCUGGCGGGGGCCAGAGCGGGGUGCGCCCGCUUCUGGACCAUUGGCUUCUUUCCGACCUCGUGCACCUCUCUCCUCCUGCAUGAAAUUUCUGUGGAAGAAAAUGGAUUUUCUGAGUUUGCUGCUUCUUCUCUUCUCGGCAGUGGCUGUGAGCAGAGCCCAGGUGCAGCAGGAGCCGGCGGCAGAGACCAGAGAGGGCAUCGGCAUCAACAUCACCUGCUCACACCCCAACAUACAGCCCGACGGGUACAUCCAUUGGUACCGUCAGCUCCCGGGCCGAGGACCCGCAUUCCUCGUCAGCGCCGUUAAAGGCUUCAAGGAGGUGCCGGACCCGGAGGGGCAGCUGUGGGUGUCGGCAGACCGCCGCUCCAGCGCCCUGUGUCUCGCCCGGCCCCGGCUCGGGGACGCGGCGCUGUAUUACUGCGCCUUGGGCGCACGGGAAGCGAAGCCGGGGCUGCGGCCGGGCACGAACCGCUUGGGGCGGGGCGGGGGCACAGUGCCGUCCGGGCCCGCAGGGGGCGCUGCCGCUCCUCCCUCCCGGCGCCGCCGAGCUGGCAGUGCUGACAUGGAACGCGUCCGUCGCACCGCUCGCAUCCCACGGAUUCACUGUUUCCAGCUGCACACCUUCAUGAGCGUUGAGUUUAUGUGCAGGUCUCACAGACACCUUCAUGUGAUCUCCUCAGUGGCUCUGUUGAGAGUAUGA